rnacentral:rRNA from 1 species
UAAGCGGAGGAAAAGAAACUAACAAGGAUUCCCCUAGUAACUGCGAGUGAAGCGGGAAAAGCUCAAAUUUAAANUCUGGUGGUCUUUGGCCAUCCGAGUUGUAAUUUAGAGAAGUGUCUUNCGCGCUGGACCGUGCACAAGUCUCCUGGAAUGGAGCGUCAUAGAGGGUGAGAAUCCCGUCUUUGGCACGGACACACAGGGCUUUUGUGAUACACUCUCGAAGAGUCGAGUUGUUUGGGAAUGCAGCUCAAAAUGGGUGGUGAACUCCAUCUAAAGCUAAAUAUUGGCGAGAGACCGAUAGCGAACAAGUACCGUGAGGGAAAGAUGAAAAGCACUUUGGAAAGAGAGUGAAACAGUACGUGAAAUUGUUGAAAGGGAAACGCUUGAAGUCAGUCACGUUAACCGAGACUCAGCCUUGCCUUGGCUUGGUGUACUUCUUGGCUAACGGGUCAGCAUCAAUUUUGCCCCUUGGAUAAUGGUAAGGGAAAUGUGACACCUUUAUGGUGUGUUAUAGUCUCUUGUCGCAUGCAAGGGUUGGGAUUGAGGAACUCAGUACGCACCUUUGGGUGUCGGGGCUUUGCCUACGAUACGUGCUUAGGAUGUUGGCAUAAUGGCUUUAAACGACC